rnacentral:ncRNA from 15 species
CAAGUACUAAAUUUUUUACUUGAAUUAUUGACAUAAAAUAACUGCUUAUAAACCAAGAAGAAUUUUUUGCGUGGUAAAAAUCGCAUUAUUAAAAUUUGUGUAAAGGGACAAAUUUU